GGGGCCAUAGUUCAGAGGGAGAACAUCUGCUUUGCAAUCAGAAGGUCCCAGUUUCAAUCCUAGAUGGAUCAAUGGUCUUA